CUACGUGCCAGCAGCCGCGGUAAUACGGAGGGUGCGAGCGUUAAUCGGAAUAACUGGGCGUAAAGGGCACGCAGGCGGCUAUUUAAGUGAGGUGUGAAAUCCCCGGGCUUAACCUGGGAAUUGCAUUUCAUACUGGGUCGCUAGAGUACUUUAGGGAGGGGUAGAAUUCCACGUGUAGCGGUGAAAUGCGUAGAGAUGUGGAGGAAUACCGAAGGCGAAGGCAGCCCCUUGGGAAUGUACUGACGCUCAUGUGCGAAAGCGUGGGGAGCAAACAGGAUUAGAUACCCUGGUAGUCCACGCUGUAAACGAUGUCGAUUUGGGGGUUGAGCUUUAAGUUUGGCGCCCGUAGCUAACGUGAUAAAUCGACCGCCUGGGGAGUACGGCCGCAAGGUUAAAACUCAAAUGAAUUGACGGGGGCCCGCACAAGCGGUGGAGCAUGUGGUUUAAUUCGAUGCAACGCGAAGAACCUUACCUACUCUUGACAUCCAGAGAACAUUC
rnacentral:rRNA from 1 species